GACGAACGCUGGCGGCGCGCCUAACACAUGCAAGUCGAACGAGAGAGAGGGAGCUUGCUUCCUCAAUCGAGUGGCGAACGGGUGAGUAACGCGUGAGGAACCUGCCUCAAAGAGGGGGACAACAGUUGGAAACGACUGCUAAUACCGCAUAAGCCCACGGCUCGGCAUCGAGCAGAGGGAAAAGGAGCAAUCCGCUUUGAGAUGGCCUCGCGUCCGAUUAGCUAGUUGGUGAGGUAAUGGCCCACCAAGGCAACGAUCGGUAGCCGGACUGAGAGGUUGAACGGCCACAUUGGGACUGAGACACGGCCCAGACUCCUACGGGAGGCAGCAGUGGGGAAUAUUGCACAAUGGGGGAAACCCUGAUGCAGCGACGCCGCGUGGAGGAAGAAGGUCUUCGGAUUGUAAACUCCUGUUGUUGAGGAAGAUAAUGACGGUACUC
rnacentral:rRNA from 1 species